rnacentral:rRNA from 1 species
UACGGAGGGUGCGAGCGUUAAUCGGAAUUACUGGGCGUAAAGCGCACGCAGGCGGUUUGUUAAGCUAGAUGUGAAAGCCCCGGGCUCAACCUGGGAUGGUCAUUUAGAACUGGCAGACUAGAGUCUUGGAGAGGGGAGUGGAAUUCCAGGUGUAGCGGUGAAAUGCGUAGAUAUCUGGNGGAACAUCAGUGGCGAAGGCGACUCCCUGGCCAAAGACUGACGCUCAUGUGCGAAAGUGUGGGUAGCGAACAGG